rnacentral:lncRNA from 1 species
UUUUUUUGUUCACUUUGUACCAUUGUUCUUAAAACUUCUAAGUUGGCACCUUAGCUUAUUCUCACGUAUAUUGCUCAUAGCUUUUAUAUACCUUUUGCAUUUCUUGUUCAAUUAUUAUUUUAGCAUUUAAUGUGUCUUUGUAUUGGAAUAUAUCCGAGUGCAUUUUUCUUGUGCUUAUUUGUGUGUAGUGCAUUUUUGAUAUACAUCUGUAGAUACAUGUUCUUUUUUUACUUCUUUUUUUCAUUUCUAUGUGUAUUUCCAUUUAAGUUGUUCUCUCUUAUACUUGCCCUAUUCUUAUAUGAGUAGUACAUUAAUACCAUGGUUUUGCUUUAUUUUUCUGCCAUAUCGUCAUUCCUCUCAUCAUCUAACGUUGACCGGAGGUCCCAAAACAGUCUUUGACUAUAGGACCUUCUUUUGUAUUUCAUAUUUAUCAAAACUUGCAACCACUUGUUGAAGCAAUAAAUUCUGAAAUGUGAUCCGAUGCAAUAUAAAAAAAUGCCUUUGGGCAUUCAAGCUGAUAAUAAACAAAGCAUCACUUUUCACUUGAGGUAUUCUUGUUUUCUUUGACAGGUGGGGACCAAUGAUGAAGUUGAUCUUGGGACUCUUUCAAGGGAUGGCUGGAAUCGCUCCACUUUUCUAAAAACCAUGCUGCUGCUUGACAGCUCUACCUUAAAAGGGAAACUAAAGAGAAAGCAUCACCGCUGCCCCAGUUGCUGGACCAACUGUUCCGCUCGGACAUUCAAAUUGAGUGCAACAAUUCCCGAGACUCUAUGGCAGAGGCGAACGACAACGGCAUAUCUGUGGACUUAGUGCCAGCUGCGCUGCCCGAUGAGGGUGCCAGUACAAGCGAAGCCAGCGAGCGCUUGCGCCGUAACAGAUGCACAUAUUCUUGUCCAUAUUGCCCUUAUGUUGCACGAAGUUCACACUUGACUACACACAUGCGUGUCCAUACUGGUGAGAGACCGUUCAGGUGCAACGUCUGUUUAGCAUGCUUCACCACGAAAUCAAACCUUUCACGGCACUUGAGGGCUCAACCAUGUGGGAAAUUUCCAUUAUCUAUCUGCAAUUAGCAGUUCGAAACCAAGCAGCAUCUUCAUGACCGUUUUCAUGAACUUUUGCAAUUCAUAACCACUCCUCCAUACACUUGGGUGUUCUACCCUGCCUGUGUCCAAUGUGCUUGUGAUCCUUCAUACAGAAGAGCUUUCUAUUUAACCACAUGCAUCUGAUGCACAAGAAGUGAAUAGCUUGAUGUGUUGCAACUCCUUGAAACAAGGGGGACUGUAUUUGGUGGCAGCAAGGCAUACUCCCACAGUCAUCAACUGCGUGUGUGUGUGGAUAGCAAAGAAGGCACAAGUUUAGAACAAGCAUUUUUGUGGGGUGGUUGUGUAUUUGCAUAAGAUUUCAAAAAGUACCUUUAGAGACCGCUAACCAAAAAAAUGUUUAUUGGAAAACAUACUAGAAAACCGCUUAUGUGAAGAAGUGUGGUACUUGAAGCUGUGCUGUGAGGACACCUUCGAUUGUAGUGCAAUAUUUUACUGUGCCAGGCAGUUAUAAAGUAGGAAAUGGUCACUGUUUCUGUAAUUUAAUGAGUCCAUUACACUCAUUAGUGUUUAGAUGCACUGACACAGAUGUCACUUAUGUUGUGGCUGUUUGGAACUUACGUUUGUGGGAAGAUUGUGUUUUGCCAUGUGGUGGCAUUGAUGUCAAUUUUGAAUUGCACCACUUAUAAAGUUCUGUGUACACAUGCACAAGAGAUCAAAAUGGAUGCCUGUCAAAGCCAAAGUGUUUACUAUUGGCUUGCCAACACUGAUAGAAAGCACGCUGUGCUGCUGUGAGGAAAUGGUUGAAAGCAUAUUGAAAGAGUUUCACUGAAACAUUCUCAGAACUGAUGAAAGAAGACUGAGAAAUAAAGCAAAGAUAUUAAAGUGUG